GCGACGAACUCGAGUGAAGUUGA
rnacentral:siRNA from 1 species